ACGGAGGGUGCAAGCGUUAAUCGGAAUUACUGGGCGUAAAGCGUGCGUAGGCGGUUCGUUAAGUCAGAUGUGAAAGCCCUGGGCUCAACCUGGGAACUGCAUUUGAAACUGGCGGACUAGAGUUUAGUAGAGGGGAGUGGAAUUUCAGGUGUAGCGGUGAAAUGCGUAGAUAUCUGAAGGAACACCAGUGGCGAAGGCGACUCCCUGGACUAGAACUGACGCUGAGGUACGAAAGCGUGGGUAGCAAACAGGAUUAGAUACCCUGGUAGUCCACGCCGUAAACGAUGUCGACUAGCCGUUGGUCCUAUUUACAGGAUUAGUGGCGCAGCUAACGCAUUAAGUCGACCGCCUGGGGAGUACGGCCGCAAGGUUA
rnacentral:rRNA from 1 species